GUUGCAGGUUUCAAAUGUGCUUUCUACAAGAGUGUCAAGAAGGUGUCACCCCAUCUAAGGAUAAUCCUAAUCUCUGACCUCAGUUUCUUGGAAUCUACACCAUCUGUAAAGGUUACUUGUCCUUAGACAUAUUAGAAACCAUAUCAGUGGCCACAGGAUAUGUAAAAUCUUGAGAUCAACUGUGUCAAGUAAAACAAAUUAAAUCAUACCAGGUAUAAACUAUGAAUUUUUCCAUAAAAGUAUCACCUUCAGGAAGGAUCUCAGAAUCCUUCCUAAGGAUGGUGUAACUUUGAGGCAGCCCUCCCAGAAACACUCCUGUGUUAUCUCCAAUAACGGUACUACCAUUCAGCGUGGCAGAGGAACCUAGAGAAACGGAGAUAAGAAAUAUACCUUCACCAGGAUACACCAUUUGUACUAACUCAGCAAAUAAUAAAAUUCUUCAGCAGCCUUCGGGAUACCA